GUAUAUAUAGUUUAACUAAAACACUAGGCUGUGAUUCUAGAUAUAAGAGUUAAAUCCUCUUUAUAGACC
rnacentral:tRNA from 1 species